GCCUCUGUGGCUUAAACGGUAGAGCAACGGUCUGAAGCACCGUGGAUGCUGGUUCGAUUUCAGACGGAGGCACGA
rnacentral:tRNA from 3 species